GGGAAAUUUGGAGUGCCACUGGAAAAUGAGGGUAUAUUGGAUAGGGACAGAAAUUUUGCCGUGUAACAGUCCACCUACGCAACCCUCAAAUUAUAGUUGUUGCAAUGGUUCUUAACGGGCAUAGAGUGUGGCACUCUCUUUACACGAGGCAUCGGAUUUAACGUCCCCAUUCUGACCGGACGUGACUCCGAGUUUAAUACAUCCUGCACAGCCAAACG
rnacentral:lncRNA from 1 species